UACGUAGGGUGCGAGCGUUGUCCGGAAUUAUUGGGCGUAAAGAGCUCGUAGGCGGUCUGUCGCGUCGAUCGUGAAAACUUGGGGCUUAACCCUGAGCUUGCGGUCGAUACGGGCAUGACUGGAGUUCGGCAGGGGAGACUGGAAUUCCUGGUGUAGCGGUGAAAUGCGCAGAUAUCAGGAGGAACACCAGUGGCGAAGGCGGCGCUCUGGGCUGGCACUGACGCUGAGGAGCGAAAGCGUGGGGAGCGAACAGG
rnacentral:rRNA from 1 species